CUACAGCUCGAGAAGCCUGGAACUCUGUGGUCCUGCACCUCCCCCUACACCCCCCAACAAAAAUUAGCCUCCAAUCAGCUCCUGGAGACAAUGUUGGUGGGAACCACAAGGGUUCCUGGGCAUGCCCAAUCUCUGGCACUGAAGAGGAGAUUCAAUCAAAAUAAAUGUAUGCUGUCGAGGCCAGGCUGGCCAUAUGUUCCUGCCAGGCAGUUGUCAGGAGGAGAUAUUUGUUACGUUCAAAUGUGGACACAAGCUCCUAAGAAGGCAAACACUUGUCAUUUAGAGGGACGUCUGAAUAUGGCAGCAUGUUUCCAGUGAUAACCCAAUUUCAUUUUACAUCCUUUUCCUUCCCUUUCUCUUGGGCUCUGGGCCUCCUCACCAGCACAUCCUGUUGGCCAGCCUGCUCUAUCACAGCAGUAUAGUUGAAAACCUAGG
rnacentral:lncRNA from 1 species